GCAAGAUAGGUUAUAAUUUGUACCAAUUUUGUGUCGGAAGAUGACAAGAUUAGUUUUAUAGGCCUCCAUGGGAAUUUCUUCAUGGAACUCUUCUCUUCCAUGGAGUUGCUCUGAGGAGGUUACAC